rnacentral:rRNA from 1 species
UACGUAGGGUGCAAGCGUUAAUCGGAAUUACUGGGCGUAAAGCGUGCGCAGGCGGUUUUGUAAGUCUGUCGUGAAAUCCCCGGGCUCAACCUGGGAAUUGCAUUUGUGACUGCCCGGCUAGAGUGUGUCAGAGGGGGGUAGAAUUCCACGUGUAGCAGUGAAAUGCGUAGAUAUGUGGAGGAAUACCGAUGGCGAAGGCAGCCCCCUGGGAUAACACUGACGCUCAUGCACGAAAGCGUGGGGAGCAAACAGG